UACAAAAAAAACUAGCUAAUAAUGCAAUCCCAAAAUAAAGGAACAUGCUAUGAAUGUUCAAGAGGUGAAAAAUUCAACUAUAAGAUUUAGGUUUGGAGGGCAAAAAGAGAAAGAUGAAAUUUAGAACUCCUGGGAUGCGAACUCAAAUGUUCCCCUUCCUCUAAAUCUAGUACCACGUCCGGCAGCUCCUCAGAUGCUAGUGUAUCGAGCAAUUUAGGUGGAACUAGUCCCGAGUCCUCUCCCUUGGCCAUCUAUUCAAGCCAGUUGCAACUCAAACUCAACCUAUCAUACCGUCUCCUAUUCUACUGAUAUAUGAUCGGCCAACUUCUUCUGCUGGGUAGACAGGCAAAUCUCCAUGCAACUGAUUGCCUCGAGAAAUGUCUUUAGAAGGUUAAUCUUUGAUGAACUAGAAGAGGAUUCUUCUGCAGGUCCCUUUCCCAUGAUCCAUCUGCCCUUCUCAUCUCUCAGUUGAAUCUUCCGAUAUGAGAUGGUGGCUAUCUCCGCCAAUUAUACCCUCUCGUCAUCCUCCUACCACCUAAUGUUGGCUAAUGAAGGCAACUUAGUUACCAAUUCAAGGAAUGAAAGACAACGAGCCUUGUGGGCUUUUUCUUGCUCUUUCUUAUAACUCAAGCCAUGUUUAUAUGCUUAUCAUCUAUGACACAUUAAAGUAGCUACACUUAAUCCAUCAUUAGUUUCAUGUCAUAGGUGUUAAGGAUCGCAUAGUUGAAUAGGAUUUGAAGCCAGAAUCGAGCCUCAAGGGUUAAUUGGGCUCUCACAAGACCCGAUGAUACCAAAUUUUGGUUCCACUUCCACUUGGUUCUAUAAUGGCAGAUUCGUUUAAUUACUACAUUCCAGUUAAUGGUUCUCUGGAUUUUUGUCAUUUUCUGCAAAUCAUCUAGUCCCUCACAUAGCUAUGGCAAGUUCAACAUGAAUUUGAUAUCAUCCUCUGAAGAUGGAAUAUGUCUACCUCAUAGGUAUACUCUCUGAAACAUCAAACUCCUUAAGUUUUAAUAGAACUCCUAAACUAGAGAGAGGUUUGAGACUGGGAAAAAUGUCCUUUCAUCCAAAUUGAGAGUCACGUAUAUCUCUCUCUCCCUUUAUUUCUUUCUUUUCAUUGAUCUUCUUCUAGAAAUAGAGAAGAGAAAUGUGAGUUAAAAAGAAAAGAGAAUUGGAGCAUUAUUCAUCAUUAUUUUCAAAUUCAUUUUUCUCAUAGACUAUAGCUAUAGUUGAUGACCUAUUUGUAAGCACGCGUUUCUAUCACUUCCUCUUCGCAUUCAUACCACCUAUUGAGGUAAGUGUUUGAGAAAAAAACUCUCCUCUCUUCUCUUUUUCGUUAUUAUUGUGUUUAGGGUUCACGGAACCUAAAAUUUGCGUGUUUAAUUCUUAAAGGAGAUGACAACCCAUGCUCUAGGAGUUUUGGGUGUCAUACUUUCAAGGUUGAUUUGGAGUUGAUUGAGCACUAGGAGAAAUCCAACAAAGCUAGUGGUAUCAGUGUUCAAGAUUGAAAUAUCUACACACACAAGAAAAACCUGCAGAGAUGGUGUGGAUUUUACAAUUCACAACUUAUCGACAAGUGUACCGGAUCGUACCAAGUAAUAAACUCAGGUGAGUGAGUAUCAAUCCUAUAAGGAUUAACAAAUUAAGUAAACAAUAGUCAAUUGAUUAUUCUAGUCAGACAAUCAAAAUUUAGGGUUUCAAUAGCAAAUAAUAUAAAAACAGAGAAUUAAAUAAAAGCAAACUAAAAUUGGUUAAGAAAACAAUAUGAUAAAGAUAGUUAAGGUGUCAGAGAUAUUUAAAUUUCUGGAUUAAUAUUCAAUGUCAACUACCUUGAUCAUGUAAUGAUUAUAUUUAUGACAAACCCCAAGUGAUUAAAUUCCUUUUCCUAGGCAAUCUAAUCUCCUCUAAUGCAACUAAUCAUCAAUCUUUUGAUCACUCAAUUGCAUUAGAGGGUGAAAUUCAAAUUCUGUUUUAUAUGCCAUAUAACCCUAAGAACCCCAAAGCAUAAUGCAGUUAUAUGUCACGUACUACAUUAAGUUCAGAUAAUUAGAAAUUAUGAGAGAUUGGUUUCAAGCUGUAAUUCUAAUGAUAUAACUUUUUCAAGACUUAAAUAGAAUUCAAAUUGAAUUAGAGUUAUUUUCCAAUAAUCACUAAUUCUUAGGAUGAAAAACGAAACAAAUUCUUAAACAAUAAUCAAAAUAUUAAUCAAGAGUAAAAGAACAAAUAAUUAUUAAUCCAUCAAAGUAAAUAGAGCUCAUAACCUUAACAAUAGAGGAUUAGUUGCCCAUAAUAC